rnacentral:tRNA from 1 species
UGGGGUAUAGCCAAGCGGUAAGGCAAGGGACUUUGACUCCCUCAUGCGUUGGUUCNGAAUCCAGCUACCCCAG